rnacentral:misc_RNA from 1 species
AAGUCGUAACAAGGUAACCGUAGGUGAACCUGCGGUUGGAUCAUUAUUGAUACAACGGUCUUGGAGUCCUCUUCGGAGUUGAUUCCUCGACCUUACCCACCCCAUGUGCACUGUAAAUGUUUUUUGGGACUACUCCUAGUGUUUGCCUAGUGUUUACCUAGAAGUGGUCCCAGCAGUAUAUAAACUCUAUUUAAUUUGUCUGAAAUGAAACCAAGAAUCGUAACAACUUUUGACAACGGAUCUCUUGGCUCUC